rnacentral:rRNA from 1 species
AGGACGAACGCUGGCGGCGUGCCUAAUACAUGCAAGUCGAACGGUCUUUCUAUGGAAGCUUGCUUCCACUGAGAAGAUAGUGGCGAACGGGUGAGUAACACGUGGGUAACCUGCCCAUAAGAGGGGGAUAACAUCCGGAAACGGGUGCUAAUACCGCAUAGUUUUCUUGAUCGCAUGAUUGAGAAAGGAAAGACGGCCUUUGUGCUGUCGCUUAUGGAUGGACCCGCGGCGUAUUAGUUAGUUGGUGAGGUAACGGCUCACCAAGACGAUGAUACGUAGCCGACCUGAGAGGGUGAUCGGCCACAUUGGGACUGAGACACGGCCCAAACUCCUACGGGAGGCAGCAGUAGGGAAUCUUCCGCAAUGGACGAAAGUCUGACGGAGCAACGCCGCGUGAGUGAAGAAGGUUUUUCCGGAUCGUAAAACUCUGUUGUCAGAGAAGAACAAGUUGGAGAGUAACUGCUCCAGCCUUGACGGUAUCUGACCAGAAAGCCACGGCUAACUACGUGCCAGCCGCAGC